AACGCACAUUGCGCCUCCCUUUACCGGGAGGCAUGCCUGUCUGAGCGUCAUCUGAAACCCAUAAAUCAUUGAUUUGUGUUGGGCUCUGCAUCCAGGUGCAUUGCCUCAAAGCCCUGGGUCUUUUGAUUUGCGGACGAGUUCCUCUUGGACUUACCGUGAGCCUGACCCCAACUUAGGGAGCCCCUGAGCGGGGCAUCCGAACCUCUGACCUCAGAUCAGGUAGGAAGACCGCCUGAACUUAA
rnacentral:misc_RNA from 1 species